UGCCAGCAGCCGCGGUAAUACGGAGGGGGUUAGCGUUGUUCGGAAUUACUGGGCGUAAAGCGUACGUAGGCGGAUUAUUAAGUGAGGGGUGAAAUCCCAGGGCUCAACCCUGGAACUGCCUCUAAAACUCCCAGUCUUGAGUUCGAGAGAGGUGAGUGGAAUUCCGAGUGUAGAGGUGAAAUUCGUAGAUAUUCGGAGGAACACCGGUGGCGAAGGCGGCUUUCUGGACCGAUACUGACGCUGAGACGCGAAAGCGUGGGGAGCAAACAGGAUUAGAUA
rnacentral:rRNA from 1 species